rnacentral:rRNA from 1 species
GACGAAGGGGGCUAGCGUUGUUCGGAAUUACUGGGCGUAAAGGGCGCGUAGGCGGUUUGUUAAGUCAGGCGUGAAAGCCCUGGGCUCAACCUGGGAUGUGCGUUUGAUACUGGCAAGCUUGAGUGCAGGAGAGGAUGGUGGAAUUCCCAGUGUAGAGGUGAAAUUCGUAGAUAUUGGGAAGAACACCGGUGGCGAAGGCGGCCAUCUGGACUGCAACUGACACUGAGGAACGAAAGCCAGGGGAGCAAACGGG